rnacentral:rRNA from 1 species
GGAUGAACGCUGGCGGCGUGCUUAACACAUGCAAGUCGAACGAUGAAGCCCAGCUUGCUGGGCGGAUUAGUGGCGAACGGGUGAGUAACACGUGAGUAACCUGCCCUUGACUCUGGGAUAAGCCUGGGAAACUGGGUCUAAUACCGGAUAGGAACGUCCACCGCAUGGUGGGUGUUGGAAAGAAUUUCGGUCAUGGAUGGACUCGCGGCCUAUCAGCUUGUUGGUGAGGUAAUGGCUCACCAAGGCGACGACGGGUAGCCGGCCUGAGAGGGUGACCGGCCACACUGGGACUGAGACACGGCCCAGACUCCUACGGGAGGCAGCAGUGGGGAAUAUUGCACAAUGGGCGAAAGCCUGAUGCAGCGACGCCGCGUGAGGGAUGACGGCCUUCGGGUUGUAAACCUCUUUCAGUAGGGAAGAAGCGAAAGUGACGGUACCUGCAGAAGAAGCACCGGCUAACUACGUGCCAGCAGCCGCGGUAAUACGUAGGGUGCGAGCGUUAUCCGGAAUUAUUGGGCGUAAAGAGCUCGUAGGCGGUUUGUCGCGUCUGUCGUGAAAGUCCGGGGCUUAACCCCGGAUCUGCGGUGGGUACGGGCAGACUAGAGUGCAGUAGGGGAGACUGGAAUUCCUGGUGUAGCGGUGGAAUGCGCAGAUAUCAGGAGGAACACCGAUGGCGAAGGCAGGUCUCUGGGCUGUAACUGACGCUGAGGAGCGAAAGCAUGGGGAGCGAACAGGAUUAGAUACCCUGGUAGUCCAUGCCGUAAACGUUGGGCACUAGGUGUGGGGGACAUUCCACGUUUUCCGCGCCGCAGCUAACGC